rnacentral:tRNA from 1 species
GGCACCGUGGCCAAGUUUGCAAGGUACUUGUCUAGUAAAUAGAAGGUAGCGAGUUCGAAUCUCACCGUUGCCU